UAUACCUUCUCUCUCUCCUCUCCCACGUCAGUUUUCUCUCUCUCCUCUCUUCCUCUCCCGUCGCACCCAGCCGUGCGACGCUUCGACUUCUAGGCGACGGCCCGGCCACCACAGGCCGAGCCGAUCUACGGCAAGGGUACCGUCGGCUCCGCCUCCCUCUCGCCGUCAAGACCUGACCGACCUCCACCCUUGGGCCGCCCGGAGUUGAUCGGAAAACCAUGAUUUCCGAUGGAUGUUCAUCCGAGUUCACCCGAUCUUCCAGCUCGAAUUUCUCCUUCGUUUCUCCACCAAAUCAAUUGAGUAAGGCACCAGAGGUCCGGUCGACCCGCAGCCGGGACCUUCGACGGGUCAAAUUAGCUCGGACCAUUUGCCGUAGAAGUACGCGGGAUCCACCACCGGGUCAUUCAUAGCUUCCGCGCCUCGAAGUCAGGUGGAAAAUUUUGGGAUUGGUCAAAAUACAGGGGAGACUCUACCGAAAUUUCAGCAGAAGUCUAAGGGAAAUCUGAAAAGAAUUUGAGACGAGAAGGGUAAAAAGGUCUUUUGUGCCCGACAUUCGCCAGAUGUCGGACACGCACAGGAUUCGACUCGGAUUCCAAAGCGGAAAUUGGGUCGGGUCUUGUCAGGUAUAGCUUGGUAUUAGAAUAGCGAUUCUUCGCAUGGCUCUGCGUGUUGAUUUAGCUUGCUCAUGCUUGUAUUUUAUUGCACUAUAAUUGGUCAUGACCGGGUCAAAUAGUGUGAGAUUUAGGCGAGCAUAAUUUUAGAAAGUCGGUGCAUUUUGGUCAUUUUGUGCAUGCUUGCUUGGCGUGACUCAUGACUCUCAGCUUAUGUAAGCGCGUUCUUCAAGUUUUCUUAUGUCCCGAUCGAGCCCUUCUCGCGAUUUAUUUGAGUUGGGCUAAGAAUGACCCCGGGCCUAGCCCUUGGAUUUUUGGGCCUCAACAAAAUUGAAGGUGAAAUAUUGAAAAUUGUAGAUCAGAGAUGAAGAAUAUAGUUGGACCUUAGAUUGAGCUUCAAUGGAAGCUCCUCUUGCUCCAACAUUGAGAAAGCACCAGCGAGAAAGGAGAAAAGAAUCUGAUUUGAUUUUUUGGCAGAUCUGAUUUUUCUCUCUCAAAUCCAUAGUAUAAGGGCAAUAUAGGUAUUUUACACAUACAAAUAAACUAAAAAAUAGCUAUUAAAUUGAAAAAAUUGACAGCUGUCUAUUUUUGGGGUUUU